CGGCUAUUUGAAAACUAGCUGUUUGCGAUAAAUGUAAGCGGCUGAGCGAAAGCGUUAAGUAAUCCACCUGGGGAGUACAUUCGCAAGAAUGAAACUCAAAGGAAUUGAUGGGGGCCCGCACCAGCGGAGGAACAUGUGGUUUAAUUCGAUGAUACGCGAGGAACCUUACCCGGGCUUGAAAUGCAUCUGACCGGCCUUGAAAGAGGCUUUCCCUUCCGGGCAGAUGUGUAGGUGCUGCAUGGCUGUCGUCAGCUCGUGCCGUGAGGUGUCGGCUUAAGUGCCAUAACGAGCGCAACCCUCAUCAUUAGUUACCAUCAGGUCAAGCUGGGGACUCUAAUGAGACUGCCAUCGUAAGAUGUGAGGAACGUGGGGAUGACGUCAAAUCAGCACGGCCCUUACGUCCGGGGCGACACACGUGUUACAAUGGGUGGUACAAAGGGCAGUCAUACUUGGCGACAUGAUGCUAAUCUCCAAAACCACUCUCAGUUCGGAUCGGAGUCUGCAACUCGACUCCGUGAAGCUGGAUUCGCUAGUAGUCGCGCAUCAGCCACGGCGCGGUGAAUACGUUCCCGGGCCUUGUACACACCGCCCGUCAAGCCAUGGAAGCUGGGGGUACCUUGAAGUUCGCAACCGUUCAAGGAGCGACCUAUGGUAAAACUAGUGACCUGGGGCUAAGUCGUAACA
rnacentral:rRNA from 1 species